UACGAAGGGGGCGAGCGUUGUUCGGAAUUACUGGGCGUAAAGGGCGCGUAGGCGGCCUCUGCAAGUCGACUGUGAAAUCUCCGGGCUUAACCCGGAAAGGUCAGCCGAUACUGCAGGGCUAGAGUGCAGAAGGGGCAACUGGAAUUCUCGGUGUAGCGGUGAAAUGCGUAGAUAUCGAGAGGAACACCUGCGGCGAAGGCGGGUUGCUGGGCUGACACUGACGCUGACAGCGCGAAAGCUAGGGGAGCGAACGGG
rnacentral:rRNA from 1 species